AGACCAAGAGAGUGGACCACAUCAGUCCAGUUCUCAGGUCUCUACACUGGCUCCCUGUCUUUCAGAGAAUAGACUCUAAAAUUCUCUUGCUUCAUGUAAAGCACUGAAUGGUUUAGGCCCAAAAU